AGAACGAUGAUCAUUGAAGUCUGUUUCACUGAAGAGCCCAACAUAAAGGCCAGGAGGAGUGAAUAAUAUUGUACCAUUUCAUGGAGUAAUUGCUCCAUCAAUCACACAGCACCGAGCAGCAGAGACAACAACUGUGAAGAAGCUGCACUCCACUUCAAACAAUAAUUUGGGACUCUGCCAGAUUGUUCGGUCACCAGUGCGGGUCACCACGCCGGUUUCCAGUAAACCUGCCAUGUCAGCCUCGUCCUCGUCUGCUGUUUGCCAGUUUGGAUCAUGUCUACUCUGCUCUGCCUCAAGCCCCUCUGCCUGCUUCAGUCCUUCGCCCUGCACCACUCCCUGCUCUGCUCCGCCGUUCUAAGCCUCAUACCAUAUGCAAAGCCAAAGAACACUCAGCUAAGCCAUCAGAUCUAUCUACAACUCAAGCUACAAUAAACUGCCCUUUAACCA